AGUGAACGCUGGCGGUAGGCCUAACACAUGCAAGUCGAACGGCAGCACAGUAAGAGCUUGCUCUUACGGGUGGCGAGUGGCGGACGGGUGAGGAAUACAUCGGAAUCUACUUUUUCGUGGGGGAUAACGUAGGGAAACUUACGCUAAUACCGCAUACGACCUACGGGUGAAAGCAGGGGAUCUUCGGACCUUGCGCGAUUGAAUGAGCCGAUGUCGGAUUAGCUAGUUGGCGGGGUAAAGGCCCACCAAGGCGACGAUCCGUAGCUGGUCUGAGAGGAUGAUCAGCAAAAUUGGAAGGGAGACAGGGCACAGACCCUAGGGGGAGGAAGCGGUGGGGAUUAUUGGACAAUGGGGGAAGGCCGAAUCCAGCAAAACGGGGGGGGGGAGGAAGCACUUAGGGUGGUAAAGCCCUUUUGUUGGGAAAGAAAAGCAGCAGGUUAAUACCCCGCUGUUCUGACGGUACCCAAAGAAUAAGCACCGGCUAACUUCGUG
rnacentral:rRNA from 1 species